rnacentral:rRNA from 1 species
CAGCCGCCACGGUAAUACGGAGGGGGCUAGCGUUGUUCGGAAUUACUGGGCGUAAAGCGCACGUAGGCGGCUUGGUAAGUUAGAGGUGAAAGCCUGGAGCUCAACUCCAGAAUUGCCUUUAAGACUGCCGAGCUAGCAGGUGAGAGAGGUAAGUGGAAUUCCGAGUGUAGAGGUGAAAUUCGUAGAUAUUCGGAAGAACACCAGUGGCGAAGGCGGCUUACUGGCUCAUACUGGACGCUGAGGUGCGAAAGCGUGGGGAGCAAACAGGAUUAGAUACCCCGGUAGUCCCUGUCUCUUAUAC